UAUGAAUUUUAUUUCCUUUGAGCCUCACAACACCCACGGGAGAGAGAAAGCACCACGUUUGUCCCACUAGAGAAGGACCGAUAGUGAUCGGAGGAGGAUCCAUCUGGCCCAAGAUCAGAUAAGAAAACAGGCAAGAAUUGAAGAGGACAACUGGAGGUGCAGGUAUGAAGAAGAAGGAAAGCAUUUUACUGAAUUACGGGUUUGUUUUUGUGUUCCUGCUGGAGGCAUAAAUGCAUUGAGUGGAAGGCGAAUUUCUUUUUCUGGAGAUGGUAAAAAAGAACUGGAGGAACUCUUCUCUGUUCUCCAGCCAAUCAAAGAGGAAUGAGCACUUUCAAGCUCCCUGAAGGAAGAUGAAAAACAAAAAUUCUAAAUGUACAAAGCACUGGUGAACAGAACCAAAGUGUCUGCUUACUACCCCCAUUACACAGUUCUGCAUAUUCAACUCCUAAACCUGAAAAGAGAAGCAACAACAAGAUGUAGGGAAUUUAUGCCUGGAUAUUGCUACUUCCCAGCCUGCCUUUCACCAGUAUGCCAUCUGAUUCCUUUUCCCACUGGAUACUCAGUUAUAAAGGUGAGUGCAACCUGUGGCUCAGAAACAAAAUACAAGUUCAAAGGCCCAGAUUAAAUUACUCAAUAAUGACUUCUUUGGUCACAGACCUACUUAGGAUAUGUUCCAGAAACAUCUGUCUAGUUCAUGCGUCCAUUUAAUACAACUCAGCCCAACUAGAAGUGUGCCAGUAAGUGGUUAACUUAUUAUUUUGGGGAAACUUCAUGUAAAUAUAUGUAUAUGUACAUGUAUGUAUCUAUGUGUA